rnacentral:sRNA from 1 species
CUACGCCCCGGAUCGUAGCGGAAAUCCUUUGCGUAGCAAAGAUUGCAGCGUAGAGCCGGAAAUGGC